GGGACCUCCACCAGGCCUCAUUCCAGGCAUGAGUUGCUGUUGAUAACCAAAGCCGGGCUGGGAGGAAAUAAUAGUAGGUGGAGCUUGGCCAUAGAAUAUCUGUUGUCCAAUACCUGGACCACCUGGAGGAUACAUUGGCAUGCCACGAGGAGCAACUGAAGAUGCCAUUGCCAUUGGCUGCAUUUGGGAAAAUUGUGCCUGCAACCUAGCUCUUCUAUCUUCCUUCCUCUGUGCAAGUGCAACAUAAAGAGGCUUGCUCACAAUCAUUCUUCCAUUCAUCUCUGCAAGAGCUCUGCCAGCCUCUUCUGGAGUUGAGAAUGCAACAAAGCCAGAUCCUCUACUGAUUCCAUUGGGGUCACGCAUAACCUUGCAUGAGGUAAUGGUUCCAAACCCAGUGAAUAACUCCUUCAGCUUUUC
rnacentral:misc_RNA from 1 species